UGGGGAAUAUUGGGCAAUGGGCGGAAGCCUGACCCAGCAACGCCGCGUGAAGGAAGAAGGCUUUCGGGUUGUAAACUUCUUUUAUGUAGGACGAAGAAAGUGACGGUACUACAUGAAUAAGCCACGGCUAACUACGUGCCAGCAGCCGCGGUAAUACGUAGGUGGCGAGCGUUAUCCGGAUUUACUGGGUGUAAAGGGCGUGUAGGCGGGACUGCAAGUCAGAUGUGAAAACUAUGGGCUCAACCCAUAGCCUGCAUUUGAAACUGUAGUUCUUGAGUGCUGGAGAGGCAAUCGGAAUUCCGUGUGUAGCGGUGAAAUGCGUAGAUAUACGGAGGAACACCAGUGGCGAAGGCGGAUUGCUGGACAGUAACUGACGCUGAGGCUCGAAAGCGUGGGGAGCGAACAGGAUUAGAUACC
rnacentral:rRNA from 1 species